rnacentral:rRNA from 1 species
AGCGAACGCUGGCGGCAGGCUUAACACAUGCAAGUCGAACGGGCUUCUUCGGAAGUCAGUGGCAGACGGGUGAGUAACACGUGGGAACGUGCCCUUCGGUUCGGAAUAACUCAGGGAAACUUGAGCUAAUACCGGAUACGCCCUUAUGGGGAAAGGUUUACUGCCGAAGGAUCGGCCCGCGUCUGAUUAGCUUGUUGGUGGGGUAACGGCCUACCAAGGCGACGAUCAGUAGCUGGUCUGAGAGGAUGAUCAGCCACACUGGGACUGAUACACGGCCCAGACUCCUACGGGAGGCAGCAGUGGGGAAUAUUGGACAAUGGGCGCAAGCCUGAUCCAGCCAUGCCGCGUGAGUGAUGAAGGCCUUAGGGUUGUAAAGCUCUUUUGUCCGGGACGAUAAUGACGGUACCGGAAGAAUAAGCCCCGGCUAACUUCGUG